rnacentral:rRNA from 1 species
AGAGUUUGAUCAUGGCUCAGGACGAACGCUGGCGGCGUGCCUAAUACAUGCAAGUAGAACGCUGAAGAGAGGAGCUUGCUCUUCUUGGAUGAGUUGCGAACGGGUGAGUAACGCGUAGGUAACCUGCCUUGUAGCGGGGGAUAACUAUUGGAAACGAUAGCUAAUACCGCAUAACAAUGGAUGACCCAUGUCAUUUAUUUGAAAGGGGCAAAUGCUCCACUACAAGAUGGACCUGCGUUGUAUUAGCUAGUAGGUGAGGUAACGGCUCACCUAGGCGACGAUACAUAGCCGACCUGAGAGGGUGAUCGGCCACACUGGGACUGAGACACGGCCCAGACUCCUACGGGAGGCAGCAGUAGGGAAUCUUCGGCAAUGGGGGCAACCCUGACCGAGCAACGCCGCGUGAGUGAAGAAGGUUUUCGGAUCGUAAAGCUCUGUUGUAAGUCAAGAACGAGUGUGAGAGUGGAAAGUUCACACUGUGACGGUAGCUUACCAGAAAGGGACGGCUAACUACGUGCCAGCAGCCGCGGUAAUACGUAGGUCCCGAGCGUUGUCCGGAUUUAUUGGGCGUAAAGCGAGCGCAGGCGGUUUGAUAAGUCUGAAGUUAAAGGCUGUGGCUCAACCAUAGUUCGCUUUGGAAACUGUCAAACUUGAGUGCAGAAGGGGAGAGUGGAAUUCCAUGUGUAGCGGUGAAAUGCGUAGAUAUAUGGAGGAACACCGGUGGCGAAAGCGGCUCUCUGGUCUGUAACUGACGCUGAGGCUCGAAAGCGUGGGGAGCGAACAGGAUUAGAUACCCUGGUAGUCCACGCCGUAAACGAUGAGUGCUAGGUGUUGGAUCCUUUCCGGGAUUCAGUGCCGCAGCUAACGCAUUAAGCACUCCGCCUGGGGAGUACGACCGCAAGGUUGAAACUCAAAGGAAUUGACGGGGGCCCGCACAAGCGGUGGAGCAUGUGGUUUAAUUCGAAGCAACGCGAAGAACCUUACCAGGUCUUGACAUCCCGAUGCUAUUUCUAAAGAUAGAAAGUUACUUCGGUACAUCGGUGACAGGUGGUGCAUGGUUGUCGUCAGCUCGUGUCGUGAGAUGUUGGGUUAAGUCCCGCAACGAGCGCAACCCCUAUUGUUAGUUGCCAUCAUUCAGUUGGGCACUCUAGCGAGACUGCCGGUAAUAAACCGGAGGAAGGUGGGGAUGACGUCAAAUCAUCAUGCCCCUUAUGACCUGGGCUACACACGUGCUACAAUGGUUGGUACAACGAGUUGCGAGUCGGUGACGGCAAGCUAAUCUCUUAAAGCCAAUCUCAGUUCGGAUUGUAGGCUGCAACUCGCCUACAUGAAGUCGGAAUCGCUAGUAAUCGCGGAUCAGCACGCCGCGGUGAAUACGUUCCCGGGCCUUGUACACACCGCCCGUCACACCACGAGAGUUUGUAACACCCGAAGUCGGUGAGGUAACCUUUUGGAGCCAGCCGCCUAAGGUGGGAUAGAUGAUUGGGGUGAAGUCGUAACAAGGUA